GACGAACGCUGGCGGCGUGCUUAACACAUGCAAGUCGAACGCUGAAGCUCAGCUUUUGUUGGGUGGAUGAGUGGCGAACGGGUGAGCAACACGUGAGUAACCUGCCUCCUUCUUUGGGAUAACGCCCGGAAACGGGUGCUAAUACUGGAUAUUCACUGGUCUUCGCAUGGGGGUUGGUGGAAAGGGUUUUUCUGGUGGGGGAUGGGCUCGCGGCCUAUCAGCUUGUUGGUGGGGUGAUGGCCUACCAAGGCUUUGACGGGUAGCCGGCCUGAGAGGGUGACCGGUCACAUUGGGACUGAGAUACGGCCCAGACUCCUACGGGAGGCAGCAGUGGGGAAUAUUGCACAAUGGGCGCAAGCCUGAUGCAGCGACGCCGCGUGAGGGAUGGAGGCCUUCGGGUUGUGAACCUCUUUCGCUCAUGGUCAAGCCGCAACAAUGGUUGUGGUGAGGGUAGUGGGUAAAGAAGCGCCGGCUAACUACGUG
rnacentral:rRNA from 1 species